rnacentral:rRNA from 1 species
UACGGGGGGGGCAAGCGUUGUUCGGAAUUACUGGGCGUAAAGGGUUCGUAGGUGGCUCGCUAAGUCAGACGUGAAAUCCCUCAGCUUAACUGGGGAACUGCGUCUGAGACUGGCAAGCUCGAGUGCAGGAGAGGAACGCGGAAUUCCAGGUGUAGCGGUGAAAUGCGUAGAUAUCUGGAGGAACACCGGUGGCGAAGGCGGCGUUCUGGAAUGCAACUGACACUGAGGAACGAAAGCCAGGGGAGCAAACGGG